rnacentral:rRNA from 1 species
AUUGAACGCUGGCGGAAUGCUUUACACAUGCAAGUCGAACGGUAGAGGGGGCAACCCCUCGAGAGUGGCGAACGGGUGAGUAAUAUAUCGGAACGUGCCCAGUCGUGGGGGAUAACGUAGCGAAAGUUACGCUAAUACCGCAUACGAUCUAAGGAUGAAAGCGGGGGAUCGCAAGACCUCGCGCGAUUGGAGCGGCCGAUAUCAGAUUAGGUAGUUGGUGGGGUAAAGGCUCACCAAGCCAACGAUCUGUAGCUGGUCUGAGAGGACGACCAGCCGCACUGGAACUGAGACACAGUCCAGCCUCCUACGGGAGGCAGCAGUGGGGAAUUUUGGACAAUGGACGCAAGUCUGAUCCAGCCAUUCCGCGUGCAGGAUGAAGGCCCUCGGGUUGUAAACUGCUUUUGUACGGAACGAAAAGGUCUCUCUUAAUACGGGGGGCUCAUGACGGUACCGUAAGAAUAAGCACCGGCUAACUACGUGCCAGCCGCCGCAGUAA